AAUGAACGUUGGCGGCGUGGAUGAGGCAUGCAAGUCGUGCGGAAGUGCCCGCAAGGGUACUUUAGCGGCGAAAGGGAGAGUAACACGUGGGUAACCUACCCCUAGACCUGGGAUAGCUGCGGGAAACUGCAGGUAGUACCGGAUAAUGUCCCCGGACCAAAGGUGUGAUUCCGUCUAGGGAGGGGCCCGCGUCCGAUUAGCUAGUUGGUGAGGUAACGGUUCACCAAGGCGAAGAUGGGUAUCGGGCGUGAGAGCGUGACGCGACUCACUGGGACUGAGACACUGCCCAGACACCUACGGGUGGCUGCAGUCGAGGAUCUUCGGCAAUGGGCGCAAGCCUGCCCGAGCGACGCCGCGUGCGGGAAGAGGGCCUUCGAGUUGUAAACCGCUGUCAGGGGGGACGAAAUGCCAGGAAGUUCUCUUCUUGGUUUGACAUAUCCUCAGAGGAAGUACGGGCUAAGUUCGUGCCAGCCGCCGCGGUAAUAC
rnacentral:rRNA from 1 species